CCCCUGUGACAUACCUAUACGUUGCCUCGGCGGAUCAGCCCGCGCCCCGUAAAACGGGACGGCCCGCCCGAGGACCCCUAAACUCUGUUUUUAGUGGAACUUCUGAGUAAAACAAACAAAUAAAUCAAAACUUUCAACAACGGAUCUCUUGGUUCUGGCAUCGAUGAAGAACGCAGCAAAAUGCGAUAAGUAAUGUGAAUUGCAGAAUUCAGUGAAUCAUCGAAUCUUUGAACGCACAUUGCGCCCGCCAGUAUUCUGGCGGGCAUGCCUGUUCGAGCGUCAUUUCAACCCUCAAGCUCAGCUUGGUGUUGGGACUCGCGGUAACCCGCGUUCCCCAAAUCGAUUGGCGGUCACGUCGAGCUUCCAUAGCGUAGUAAUCAUACACCUCGUUACUGGUAAUCGUCGCGGCCACGCCGUAAAACCCCAACUUCUGAAUGUUGACCUCGGAUCAGGUAGGAAUACCCGCUGAACUUAAGCAUAUCAAUAAGCGGAGGAA
rnacentral:rRNA from 1 species